UCAGUGCAUCGCAAAAUUGUUAAUAUAUCGAGAUAUACAUAUAACAAUAUAUGACAAUAUAUUGACGAUCCUUCGAAAUGUGUAUCCUUAAUAAGCACCAUAUCGGAAACAUAUCCUUUGAUGUGGCGAUAAUAAUGAAGAGAAAAAAAAUUAAUAAAUAUGAUAAUUAUAAUGACAAGCUAUGCGCGUGCGUGUUUAGUUUAUUAGCGAAUAAGUUAUAAUCAUAUUUUCGUGUUAUCAGAUUUACGUUGUGCACGUCAUUUGCCGCAAGGAUGCAUAUAUAAGCGUGUGGUGCGGGUGAUACGUGUAGUAGCCACGCAAUGCACGCGUGAGAUACCUAACAAUAAGUGUAGGUGUCUCGCAGUAUAAGAGACGAAGGAAAGAGGAAGAGAAUCAUGUCGCUUUGCGGAGUGAUAGGGGCCCCAGUUUCCAGUAACGUAACGUCGCUCGAAGUUUUGCGACACGCGCGCGAUUCGCUACCGGGUCGCGACGUAUCUGACUAUAUCGUCGUGAUAUUCUCCUUAUCACCGUGUACGCUCCUCGUAGUAAAAGCGUUCGGUUCAGGGUGCGGCCGAUGCGACACGUGAUUACCAUAAAAUUAUAUGUCGUUCAUCAAACGUUCUCGAAGAAGAUACCAGACGUGUCACCGCGAUUUCCUAUACGUAUAUGUGUCAUUUCCCAGCAAAGAGACGCGUGUUGUGAAAAUCGAGGUCGCGGGUCGCGCGACCGAAUAUAUUUGCGGGAAUCGUGGAAUUUCCGAUCGGCGCGUAAUACGCAACACAUUUUAAAUUAUUAUGCAUAGCUACAUGCAUUCGGCUAUCGGAUACUCGAUCCAUUCGGAAUUUGAAUUAUCGCAAAGUUCGCUGCUCGAAGAGCAACGGAUCUGUAAUUAUUGUUAUUCAUAAGUGCGCAAAAUAAUAUGCAACAGAUAACAGAAGCGCAGUAUUGCACUUAACAUAAUUUUUGCUUGACGUGAUUUAUCGCUAUUUUAAAUUUCUAGACAUUCCGUGCGUCUCUACAAUCUAAAUGAUACGCAAUAUAACCACAUAAUCGCGUAUACCUACUCUUCGACUAUAGAUGCAACAACAAAUUUUACGACCUUCGGAUACGUUUUUUUUUUAACGUUCGCACGACGAUGCAAUAGAGCGUACCGGAAAUAAAAUUUAAACGUCUUGCAUUACAAUGAAGGAAAUUGCAGAUAUAUGUAUAUAUAGUAGUUUCGGAAACAGUCACCUUUUUAUACAUGCAAUUAUGGUCUCUCUUUAUAAUAAAGAAUAAAUUUCACAAGAGCUUUGAACUUCUAAUCGGCACAAAAACCGUUUGUAUUUCGACAUUGAGCAGAUUAUUUUAUUUUCUGCAUUUUGAAUUUCUAAUAGAGAAAAACACUUCCUAGAAUAUUAAUUAUGACUAAUAGCAGUAGAGUCACACGAGAGUCAGGCGAUCUCAGGAUCAGCGUUUGCGCACUCUUCCAUGACGUCCGACAAAUGUGAAUGCCGAGAUCUUUUCGACAGAGUGACUAAAGCAUUUGAGAGAGCGUAAUUGUGUGUGCACCAUUCGAAAACAAUUAGCAUUCCGUACGGUCGUGUCCUCGACAAUUAGUGCAAUGCUCGUUCCCAGACGCGAUCACAUUCGUUUCGAACGAAUUCAUUAAUCGAGUCAACGCGAUAAAACAACGAGCCACCACAGUUCAAUCAGCAUCAUCGUUCGUAAAUAUUCAUGG